GGAAUGAGGCCAAGGCAGUUACAGUUAGAGGUCAGAUUUAUGAGGGGAGAGCCAGAGUGAGGUCCGUGGGUGGGGAGACCUGAUGCUGCCCCUCAGACGUGUAUUUCUCAGACACCAAAGAAAGUGGAAUCACUCCUUAGUGAAUGCUUUCAUCAGACUUUUGAAAAACCUGUAAUGUCCCAGGAAGGAAAAUCGAACUGGACAGUUUUCCCCUUUUAAGAGUGUUAAACGUCCCGGAGACAAACAGCAGAAGGCUCAAGGAGUCCAAAUACUCAACCUGAAGUUCUUUCUGAACAAAAGAUGGUGUAUAAGUAACAGGCAUAGGAGACAAAACUGAACUAAUGACCGCAGCUGUGGCUCCUAGCCCUGUAGCAUGUCAUGCAGGCCCUUUUGCCUUCUCUGCCCUCCGCUGUCCCAGACCCCAAGGCUACCGCGCACCUCCAGUCAUCAGCUCCUGCCGACCCAUUGCUAUGAACUCUGUUUCUGUGGCUCCCUUCUCUCUGAAGUUUUGCUUGUUCUCCUGAAGUCCUGGUCUUUAAGAGCUUAUGAUCUGCAGGGACAGAUUGGCUUUGGGUAGUACAAGUUAACUGUAGCACAGCUUGAAAAAUGCUCUGAUAGAGGUGCGCAGGCAGUUUGUGCAUGCUGGUAAAUGCGAGGUCCUUUUUCAAUACCAUGAAUCCAACUAUUCAUGCUCUUUUAAAUCUGCAAUUCUUUGACUCUCCAGAGGGUUUUUAGAUUAAUUUUUUUUCUAUUACUUCCUAGUGUUUGUUGCAUAGUUCAGAGUACUUGAUUAAAACUUACCAGGUCGGCCGGGUGCGGUGGCUCACGCCUGUAAUCCGAGGACUUUGGGAGGUCUAGGCAGGCGGAUCACUUGAGGUCAGGAGUUCGAGACCAACCUGGCCAACAUGGUGAAACCCUGUCUCUACUAAAAAUACAAAAAUUAGUUGGGCGUGGUGGUGGGCGCCUGUAAUCGCAGCUCCUCAGGAGGCUGAGGCAGGAGAAUAGCUUGAACCCAGGAGGCGGAGGUUGCAGUGAGUGAAAUGGCUCCACUGCACUCCAGCCUGGGCCAUAGAGUGAGACUUCCUCUCAAAACAAAAACAAAAACAAUGUACUGGGUCUACCUCCGGCUCUGGAAUUCUCCUGGAAGGCCUUCUCUUCUGGGCUUCAUUUUUCUCACUUUUGAGGAUCAUAAACUACAUAAUUUCCAAGAAUUUUUGCCCUACACCUUUAAUUCUUUCAAGCAAAUAUAGCAGAGAAAAAUUCUCUUCCCCGCAAUGGUGUAAAUAAUGGAGGCCUUUGAAAAUGCGGAUUCUAAAGUGGAAGUUCUUUUUCUUCUUCCCCUUUGUUUCCUUUUAAACGAGUUUAGUUACAUGAGUAUAUACUUUAUCUCAGAGUUGAGGACAAGUAUCUAUGAUGAAAGCUUAAGCAGCUUUUUGGCAAUAUCUUGCAUAUUCUUCACAAUUGUGUUUUAUGUGUAGCAUCUUCCCUAUAUCCAGUUGGUUUGUUUUUUUUCUCAUUAAUGGAGUUGUUGAGCUCAGACCUUUUCAGGAGCAGUUUGUUGAUCUUUUAAGUGUCAUGUGAAAUACGUUCCAAUUUAACUUUUUUUUUUUUGGUGAGUAAAAUGGGAGUAAAUGGAAAUUUGAGAGUGCCUUGAGUAGAUGUACUUGGCUUUGUGUAAUGGUUUGAAGCAUAGUUUAAAAUUACCACUUGUGGCCGGGUGUGGUAGCUCACACCUGUAAUCCCAACACUUUGGGAGGGCAAGGCAGGCAGAUCACGAGGUUAGAAGAUGGAGACCAUCCUGGCUAACACGGUGAAACCCCGUCUCCACUAAAAAUACAAAAAAUUAGCUGAAUGUGGUGGCACACACCUGUAGUCUCAGCUACUCGGGAGGCUGAGGCAGGAGAAUCACUUGAACCCGGGAGGUGGAGCUUGCAGUGAGCCGAGGUUGCACCACUGCACUCCAGCCUGGGUGACAGAGUGAGACUCCAAAAAAAAAAAAAAAAAA
rnacentral:lncRNA from 1 species